CGCGGGUCGGAGGCUGGCGCCGCGUUGGGCGCUGGGAGCUUGCAGGAGCUGCUUUCCUCUCGGUGCCUCCUGCACGAGCGGUCGGCAGGUUGGCAAGGCUCUUCAGAGCGCCCUGGAAAACACGAGGUUUCCAUCGGAUGUUUCAUAAAAUUCACACCCUUCAAGUCUUCCUCGUUCUCCCUUCACCAUUUCUGCCUAUACAGGCGACUUCAAACCAAUGCAGAUAAACGCGUGGCUACUCUUCUCGUUACUUUUAUAGGUGUGUGGGAUAGCCAGUCACCAGUGCAGCCGAACAGAAGCGAUACAGUCGCCUCCUUGCUGGGAGUCCCCAGCUGGUUCUUCUGAUAGCCGUGGGUUUAGUCACAGUGAAUGAACACUUGAUGAGCAAGAUGAGAGAAAACUGAUUAAUUCCAACUCUGAAUUUGUUCUCAAUCAAAAGAAAUCAAUGGCAGCAGAAGAGCAAUCUGACAGAAUGGCGUCUGAGAUGAAAGUGCAGAUAAAGCAAGUGUGUAUUAUAAAACUCCUCCACGUGGAAAAAAAAUGGAACCUACUGACAUUCAUCAACACUUGCUGAAUGUUUCCAGAACCAAACAGUGGAUGUAAGCACAGGUAGAGCCCCAGUGACAGAAUUGAACUGAUAUUCUUGAAGCUGUUGUUGAUGACCUUGGCUGAAAUGGAAGUGAGAAUUCAGUAUUGUACAGAAUUCAGUAUUUCUGCCCAGAGAAGAAUGAACACAGAGUUAUGACUUGGUUGAGAAAAUCAGGUCACUUCAGCCUAUGUUGAGAAGAGCAUUACUACAGUAUUCCUGAGGGCUGUUGUAAGCUUGCUCAUCAUGCUAGAAGUGUCAGCAUCUGUGAACACCCAACACCCCAAAAUGCACUUUGCUUAUGCCAGUCGUUAAAGAGAUGAUUCACUCCAGCUCACUUCAUUAUCUCUACUGGCAAGACAGGCAGCAAUGGAAAGUGAUACAAUUACCUCUUUGUUACUGUGACUGAAAAAUAGUGGUGAUACCCUGGUUUCUUUUUCUUCUUCCUUAAUUAAGUAAAUUGAGAGUAAUUAAGCAAAAUGAGAUGUCACAACAGUAAUGUUUGAAGGGGCGAUCUUAUGCAGACAUAUAAAAUAAGCAAAGAACUAGAGAAAUCUAGUGUGUGGGGGGGGAGGGGAGUUCAGCAAAAUAUUUUUAAAAAAGGCAAUGCUGAGGUAUGAAUAUUUUCAGUCUUUCCAGAGGAAAACUAAACAUUCAGAAAGAAAAGCAAUUAGAAAACUAUUUAUGAAAAAGAUUUGCAAGGCAGAAAGACAUCACAAUUUUAAUAGAGACAUAAAAUGUAUUAGAUUGAUUUAAUUCAUUUAUGUAUCAUAUAUUUAUGAUGUGUUUUCAAAUAUGAACAGCUUGUUGCAUCUGAAUUGCAUAGCUGGACAGUCUAAUUUAUUUGUUUUACUCUAUGGAUCUAUAAUGGUAAGUAGUUCACUUACCAUUAUGGCAUUUGAAAGGUUAAUGAAAGGUUUUCACAAUUUUAUGCUCAAAAUUUUAAAAAUACAGUAAUAAAAUAUCAGAAUUACAAAGUUUAUUAUCUCGACUUCUGCAAACCUCCAUAGAAGUUCUAUGCCAUUACUGGAACGGCUAGAUUAUCUAUGUUAUUUAGGAAGUAUUCAUUUCUUUUGUAUCCAUUUCAUGACAGUAAAUUAAGGAAAGAAAACAAUCAGAAAAAAUGAACUGAAGAAGUGAUUAAUUAAGGAGAUUAACUGAGGAAAAAAAUGUGAAAAAAAAGAAAACAGAGAAGAAAAAUAUUAAAAAAAUGAACGAAGUAAAAA